rnacentral:rRNA from 1 species
UACCUGGUUGAUCCUGCCAGUAGCAUAUGCUUGUCUCAAAGAUUAAGCCAUGCAUGUCUAAGUACAAGCCAUAUUAUGGUGAAACCGCGAAUGGCUCAUUAAAUCACACCUAAUCUACUGGAAUGUUAGCAGUUACUUGGAUAACUGAGGUAAUUCUUGAGCUAAUACACGCGAAAAAUCCCGACUCACGAAGGGAUGCUUUUAUUAGAUCAAAACCAAACAGCCUUCGGCUGUAACACUGGUGACUCUGAAUAACUUUGGGCUGAUCGCAUUGCCUUGAGCAGGCGACAUUUCCUUCGAAGGUGUGCCCUAUCAAA